rnacentral:rRNA from 1 species
AAAGCAUGCGCAGGCGGUUAUGUAAGACAGAUGUGAAAUCCCCGGGCUCAACCUGGGAACUGCAUUUGUGACUGCAUGGCUAGAGUACGGUAGAGGGGGAUGGAAUUCCGCGUGUAGCAGUGAAAUGCGUAGAUAUGCGGAGGAACACCGAUGGCGAAGGCAAUCCCCUGGACCUGUACUGACGCUCAUGCACGAAAGCGUGGGGAGCAAACAGGAUUAGAUACCCCUGU